rnacentral:rRNA from 1 species
AGUGAACGCUGGCGGUAGGCCUAACACAUGCAAGUCGAACGGCAGCACAGUAAGAGCUUGCUCUUACGGGUGGCGAGUGGCGGACGGGUGAGGAAUACAUCGGAAUCUACUUUUUCGUGGGGGAUAACGCAGGGAAACUUACGCUAAUACCGCAUACGACCUACGGGUGAAAGCAGGGGAUCUUCGGACCUUGCGCGAUUGAAUGAGCCGAUGUCGGAUUAGCUAGUUGGCGGGGUAAAGGCCCACCAAGGCGACGAUCCGUAGCUGGCCUGAGAGGAUGAUCAGCCACACUGGAACUGAGACACGGUCCAGACUCCUACGGGAGGCAGCAGUGGGGAAUAUUGGACAAUGGGCGCAAGCCUGAUCCAGCCAUACCGCGUGGGUGAAGAAGGCCUUCGGGUUGUAAAGCCCUUUUGUUGGGAAAGAAAAGCAGCAGGUUAAUACCCCGCUGUUCUGACGGUACCCAAAGAAUAAGCACCGGCUAACUUCGUG